AUACUUACCUGGCAGGAGAGAUACCAUGAUCAUGAAGGUGGUUUUCCCAGGGUGAGGCUCAUCCAUUGCACUCCGGCUGUGCUGACCCCUGCGAUUUCCCCAAAUGUGGGAAACUCGACUGCAUAAUUUGUGGUAGUGGGGGACUGCGUUCGCGCUUUCCCCUG
ensembl:snRNA U1 U1 spliceosomal RNA